UAUCACAAAAAACAAUCAGUAAGUGCUCAGA
rnacentral:piRNA from 1 species